GGGUCAGUAGGUUGGUCGUGCCACCGGUACGUACUGGUCUCACUGAUUCCUCCUUCCCGAAGAACCGUAAUGCCAUUAAUUUGGUGUUGCGGGGAAACAGGACUGUUACUUUGAAAAAAUUAGAGUGUUUAAAGCAAGCUAACGCUUGAAUACAUUAGCAUGGAAUAAUGAAAUAGGACGUUGAUCCUAUUUUGUUGGUCUCUAGGAUUGACGUA
rnacentral:rRNA from 1 species